GGAGUUGGUGGAACAAAGAAGAGCUGGUGUCAUCUUCUCCCAGGCUGCCAUCUUUAGAGCUUUCUGUAAACAGCAGUUCCUGCUGUGAAUCACCUGGCUUUUCAUCUAUCUCGUCAGUCUCUUCAUCACUUUGAAGUGGAGAAGACCAUCUUUCCUCAAGGCUACAGAGGAAGCCUGAAUUAGUCUCACCGAAACGACCCCCUGGCCCAUGUGGUGAGCUGCCGAGAGGCUGGUUGCUGGCUCUGCUCUGAGCCAGCAGGAGGUGAGUGUAUCUCUUGAAAUGGGAAGGAAUUGUUGAGGUACACACAAGACCAUCAGGACACUCUGAAAAUUUUAACAAAGAAAAAAAGUAAUAGAGGAUCAAAACAGAGUCAACACGUAAGUUGAAAGUCAUCAGUCCUACUUUGAGGCCUUAGGACCAUGGCUAUCUUAAUACAAUCAAAAGAUCCAGCAUAAAAUAACAAUAAUCCAGUAUGGUUUUGCAAGGUGCUCGUUAUGAGUUUUAAAUCAAAUACUUCUUAAAGUUUCUUUGCAGAUAAUCUUUUUUCAAAACAAUUUUUAGGACUAAUACCUUCCCCCCUUCCCCAAGUAACUCUCAUCAAUACGAGCUCCUUCAAAAUGCAGUUCAUGCUUACAUGAAGUAUUUACAGGUGCUCACUAGUCCAGAUUUGCUCAGGCAAUAAAGAGUGAAAAAGACUAGUGUGUCUGUCAGAGAACUAAAGUUCUACCCCAAUUUUUAUCUUAUCAAGCAGUAUGGAUUUGUGACGAUUAAAGUACCCAAUUAGGGUCCAUUUUUUUUAAUAUUCACACUGCAUAGGAUAACAGUAAUAGUCUAAUUAGUAAUAGCUGUUCAUACACUGAAUAUUUUAGACUCUAAGAUUUGAAAUUCAAUUUGAUAAACUGGUUAAUAAUAAGGCUUUAAUAAUAAUCUGCAAACUACUCCCCAUCACACUAUUAUAAUUGAGAACCAUUCCGUAAACCAUCUUGGCAAAUCCCCUUAGACGUUAAUUCUCAGGUUUAUAAAAAAAUAAAAAUAAAAAAAAAUGACCCCUCUUCC